UGGGGAAUAUUGGACAAUGGGCGAAAGCCUGAUCCAGCCAUGCCGCGUGUGUGAAGAAGGUCUUCGGAUUGUAAAGCACUUUAAGUUGGGAGGAAGGGCAGUAAGCGAAUACCUUGCUGUUUUGACGUUACCGACAGAAUAAGCACCGGCUAACUCUGUGCCAGCAGCCGCGGUAAUACAGAGGGUGCAAGCGUUAAUCGGAAUUACUGGGCGUAAAGCGCGCGUAGGUGGUUCGUUAAGUUGAAUGUGAAAGCCCCGGGCUCAACCUGGGAACUGCAUCCAAAACGGGCGAGCUAGAGUAGGGCAGAGGGUGGUGGAAUUUCCUGUGUAGCGGUGAAAUGCGUAGAUAUAGGAAGGAAAACCAGUGGCGAAGGCGACCACCUGGGCUCAUACUGACACUGAGGUGCGAAAGCGUGGGGAGCAAACAGG
rnacentral:rRNA from 1 species